CCAACGGACGCGUCUUACCUGCCGGCUGCUCGCUCACACAAUGAAUGCUGCUCUCGGUUGGGUAGCUGUGGAACAGGCUGUGGAACAGGGUUGAGUGUGGGCUGAGUCGAUAUAAAGAACACACAGCAUAGAGUGGCGCACGACAGAUCGACUCGCGCCACACAUCCACCUUCUCCCCUGAGAAAAUGAAUGAUUUUCCUGUAGAAUCUAUUCUGCAUACAUUACCAUCUAUUACCACGUGUUUAAAGACAUGCUUAUUAAUGCAUCGAGUAGCCAACUCGAUGAAAAAAAGUAGUUUGCCAUGAUUUCUUGCCAACCAAAAAAAGUAGUGUGCCUUGAUUUUCAUUUUGACAACUUUGCAGACACUUGAUAUCAUUUCAAGACUGUAUUCCAAGGCAAGAGGACCCGAUAAUCAAGAUCAAGAUGGUCAAUCAACCUAAGAAAAAUACGUGAAAAAAAACCGAACAUUGCCCAGUAACAAACAUAUUUAUUGACUUUGGAUUCUGCUCGAGCUCCCGGAUGUAAUCGGAGAGAUAGGAGGGGGUCCUUUUCUCACGCGCUGGACGCUGUUCUCGACCGCCAUCGGGAGGAAGCUCUGGAUUAUGAUCCUGCUCGCCUGUUGAUUGCUGCUGUCGCCAUUCCUGGACCUUUUUCGUCUGUGAUACGUGACGCUUAAGCUUUUGGCCUUCGGAAUCGCAGAGGACUAGACUGCCGUUACGUUCGUCAGAAACCACAUACCGCUUCGAGCCAAACCUACUUUCGCCUUUCGAUCUCGUUUGACGUUCGACGAUUACAGUAUCGCCUGGCUUAACUUUGCAUGCUCUGGCUCCCCGUCGAGCAUCUUCUCGC